CCCUACGGGGUGCACCCUCCGCGAUCGCUGUGUUUUAAAAAGUCCGGCCGGAGGAUGAUUAUACGACAGAUUGUUACAGGAUAGUACAAAUCCACUCCGGCACUUUGAGGCAGCGUCGGGGGUCGGACAGGGAUUUUUUGUUUUAAUGCCUCUCCGAUCUUUGGUACCAUCCUCCGUAAUUUCUCCGCCCUCGUAACGGCUGCGAAUGAUCCCCGUACAUAUUUCCCUGCCCAACCCCCUGCGUACCCUGUGCGGUUUUUUGCGGAAUACUGCCAUUUUUACACCGGAGAUCCCGGCAUAAGGGUGCAGGAAGUGGUAAGGGGGGUCUGGCAGGGAAAAACGGUACCUGCCUCCGGGCAGCCUCCAUCCCAACCUAUAUGUCCCCCUCAGCUCAACGGUUCACAGACCAAAACGCGUUAUGCCGGGAGGGC
rnacentral:rRNA from 1 species